rnacentral:misc_RNA from 1 species
AACUUUCGACAACGGAUCUCUUGGCUCUCGCAUCGAUGAAGAACACAGCGAAAAGUGAUAAGUAAUGUGAAUUGCAGAAUCCAGUGAAUCAUCGAAUCUUUGAACGCAUCUUGCGCUCCUUGGCAUUCCGAGGAGCAUGCCUGUUUGAGUGUCAUUAAACUAUCAAAACACUUUUUUAAGAAAAGUGUUUUGGACUUUGGGAGUAUUGUGCUGGUCUGUUUGAGCCAGCUCUCCUCAAAAGCAUUAGCUUUGGAGACCAUCAGUGUGAUAAUUUGUUUACACUGGCUUCUCCUUUUAAAUGCACCCUUUGACCUCAAAUCAGGUAGGACUACCCGCUGAACUUAAGCAUAUCAAUAAGCGGAGGC